rnacentral:rRNA from 1 species
UACGAAGGGGGCGAGCGUUGUUCGGAAUUACUGGGCGUAAAGGGCGCGCAGGCGGUCCUUCAAGUCAGAUGUGAAAGCCCCGGGCUCAACCUGGGAACUGCAUUUGAGACUGGAGAACUUGAGGACGGGAGAGGAGAGUGGAAUUCCCAGUGUAGAGGUGAAAUUCGUAGAUAUUGGGAAGAACACCGAUGGCGAAGGCAGCUCUCUGGACCGUUACUGACGCUGAGGCGCGAAAGCGUGGGGAGCAAACAGG